UACGUAGGAGACGAGCGUUGUCCGGAGUUACUGGGCGUAAAGGGUGCGUAGGCGGUGACUUAAGUCAGUGGUGAAAUACGGCAGCUCAACUGUCGAGGUGCCAUUGAUACUGGGUUACUUGAGUACUGAUGAGGUAGGCGGAAUGGACGGUGUAGCGGUGAAAUGCUUAGAUAUCGUCCAGAACACCGAUAGCGAAGGCAGCUUACUAAGGAGUAACUGACGCUGAUGCACGAAAGUGUGGGGAUCAAACAGG
rnacentral:rRNA from 1 species